AACACGGACCAAGGAGUCUUGUACACGCGCGAGUCAAAGGGCUGGCUAAACCCCAAGGCGAAACGAAAGUAAUAAUUUCGAUAGGGCCGAUCCGGUUCUUGGUGAGCGAGAGGGAAGGGUUUGUCUCUCCCUAACCUUCGGGGAGGGGAUGUAGCGAUUCCUUCCUUCAAUCUCGCCUCGAUUUGUCUCCCUGUAUGAGGACGGCGCAGGCCCGGGGCUCGCACGCGACCUCCCGGCCAUUAUGCUCGAGCGUUCGUUUUCUCCGGGCGGCGUUCACGCGGUCCACCCGUCGCGGUGCUUCUGCCGAGUCUGGCUGCUGCUAUCUAGCCGCUUCGGCGUGUUGGUUAGUUUGUCAGUCAGUUAGGCAGUCGGUUAGUCGACGGCGGGUCCCGCUGAUGCGUCGUUCGAGGAUGCGUUGCGCAGGCUCGGGUCGAGCAGCCGGUUCUUCGAGCGCGUUUCCUAGUACCCGAAAGAUGGUGAUCUAUGCCUGGCCAGGAUGAAGCCAGAGGAAACUCUGGUGGAGGUCCGUAGCGAUUCUGACGUGCAAAUCGAUCGUCGGAGCUG
rnacentral:rRNA from 1 species